UACGUAGGGUGCAAGCGUUGUCCGGAAUUAUUGGGCGUAAAGAGCUCGUAGGCGGCCUGUCGCGUCGGAUGUGAAAAUCCAAGGCUCAACCUUGGACCUGCAUUCGAUACGGGCAGGCUAGAGUUCGGUAGGGGAGACUGGAAUUCCUGGUGUAGCGGUGAAAUGCGCAGAUAUCAGGAGGAACACCGGUGGCGAAGGCGGCGUCCUGGACCAACACUGACACUGAGGAGCGAAAGCCAGGGGAGCAAACGGG
rnacentral:rRNA from 1 species